rnacentral:rRNA from 1 species
GACGAACCGUGCGAACGUUGUUCGGGAUCACUGGGCUUAAAGGGCGCGUAGGCGGGCUGACAAGUCUGGGGUGAAAUGCCGCGGCUCAACCGUGGAACUGCCUUAGAUACUGUCGGCCUCGAGGAAGGUAGGGGCAUGCGGAACUGUAGGUGGAGCGGUGAAAUGCGUUGAUAUCUACAGGAACUCCGGUGGCGAAAGCGGCGUGCUGGACCUUUUCUGACGCUGAGGCGCGAAAGCUAGGGGAGCAAACGGG